rnacentral:rRNA from 1 species
GACGUAGGGUGCGAGCGUUGUCCGGAUUUAUUGGGCGUAAAGAGCGUGUAGGCGGCCCGAUUAGUCCGCUGUGAAAGUCCAGGGCUCAACCCUGGAAUGCCGGUGGAUACUGUCGGGCUAGAGUCCGGAAGGGGCGAGUGGAAUUCCUGGUGUAGCGGUGAAAUGCGCAGAUAUCAGGAGGAACACCAAUGGCGAAGGCAGCUCGCUGGGACGGUACUGACGCUGAGACGCGAAAGCGUGGGGAGCGAACAGG